UGGGGAAUUUUGGACAAUGGGCGCAAGCCUGAUCCAGCAAUGCCGCGUGCAGGAUGAAGGCCUUCGGGUUGUAAACUGCUUUUGUACGGAACGAAACGGCUCUGUCUAAUACAUGGGGCUAAUGACGGUACCGUAAGAAUAAGCACCGGCUAACUACGUGCCAGCAGCCGCGGUAAUACGUAGGGUGCAAGCGUUAAUCGGAAUUACUGGGCGUAAAGCGUGCGCAGGCGGUUAUAUAAGACAGAUGUGAAAUCCCCGGGCUCAACCUGGGACCUGCAUUUGUGACUGUAUAGCUAGAGUACGGUAGAGGGGGAUGGAAUUCCGCGUGUAGCAGUGAAAUGCGUAGAUAUGCGGAGGAACACCGAUGGCGAAGGCAGCCUCCUGGGCCAGUACUGACGCUCAUGCACGAAAGCGUGGGGAGCAAACA
rnacentral:rRNA from 1 species